CGACGACGUAGGGCGGCGGGAAGCCCGGCAGCCACUGCUGGUGGUUCACGGUGAAACCGGCGACCGUGGCGCGUCCGGAUACGGGCGUCAUCGCC
rnacentral:tRNA from 2 species